rnacentral:rRNA from 1 species
GACGAACGCUGGCGGCGUGCUUAACACAUGCAAGUCGAACGGAAAGGCCUCUUUCGGGGGGUACUCGAGUGGCGAACGGGUGAGUAACACGUGAGUAGCCUGCCCUUUACUUUGGGAUAACUUCAGGAAACUGGGGCUAAUACCGGAUAGGAGCUCCUGCUGCAUGGUGGGGGUUGGACAGUUUCGGCGGUUGGGGAUGGACUCGCGGCUUAUCCGCUUGUUGGUGGGGUAGUGGCUUACCAAGGCUUUGACGGGUAGCCGGCCUGAGAGGGUGACCGGCGACAUUGAGACUGAGAUACGGCCCAGACGCCUACGGGAGGCAGCAGUGGGGAAUAUUGCACAAUGGGUGGAAGCCUGAUGCAGCAACGCCGUGUGCGGGAUGACGGCCUUCGGGUUGUAAACCGCUUUCGCUCAUGACGAAGCUUUGUGUGACGGUAGUGGGUAAAGAAGCACCGGCUAACUACGUG